rnacentral:rRNA from 1 species
CAGCAGUAGCCGCGGUAAUACGAAGGGUGCAAGCGUUAAUCGGAAUUACUGGGCGUAAAGCGUGCGUAGGCGGUGAGUUAAGUCUGCUGUGAAAUCCCCGGGCUCAACCUGGGAAUGGCAGUGGAUACUGGCUCGCUAGAGUGUGUCAGAGGAUGGUGGAAUUCCCGGUGUAGCGGUGAAAUGCGUAGAGAUCGGGAGGAACAUCAGUGGCGAAGGCGGCCAUCUGGGACAACACUGACGCUGAGGCACGAAAGCGUGGGGAGCAAACAGGAUUAGAUACCCGGGUAGUCCCUGUCUCUUAUAC